GACGUAGGGGGCGAGCGUUGUCCGGAUUCAUUGGGCGUAAAGAGCGCGCAGGCGGCCAAGCAAGUCGGUUGUGAAAUCCCGUGGCUCAACCACGGAACCGCAUCCGAAACUGCUCGGCUAGAGGUAGGUAGGGGAGAUCGGAAUUCCUGGUGUAGCGGUGAAAUGCGCAGAUAUCAGGAGGAACACCGGUGGCGAAGGCGGAUCUCUGGGCCUUACCUGACGCUCAGGCGCGAAAGCUAGGGGAGCGAACAGG
rnacentral:rRNA from 1 species